rnacentral:rRNA from 1 species
ACGAACGCUGGCGGCGUGCCUAAUGCAUGCAAGUCGAGCGAAGUUUUUCUGGUGCUUGCACCGGAAAAACUUAGCGGCGAACGGGUGAGUAACACGUAAAGAACCUGCCUCAUAGACUGGGACAACUAUUGGAAACGAUAGCUAAUACCGGAUAACAGCAUUAACUGCAUGGUUGAUGUUUAAAAGUUGGUUUUGCUAACACUAUGAGAUGGCUUUGCGGUGCAUUAGCUAGUUGGUGGUGUAAAGGCCUACCAAGGCGACGAUGCAUAGCCGACCUGAGAGGGUGAUCGGCCACACUGGGACUGAGACACGGCCCAGACUCCUACGGGAGGCAGCAGUAGGGAAUCUUCCGCAAUGGGCGAAAGCCUGACGGAGCUACGCCGCGUGAGUGAAGAAGGAUUUCGGUUCGUAAAGCUCUGUUGUUAGGGAAGAAUGAUUGUGUAGUAACUAUACACAGUAGAGACGGUACCUAACCAGAAAGCCACGGCUAACUACGUG